rnacentral:rRNA from 1 species
CAGCAGUGGGGAAUCUUGCACAAUGGGCGAAAGCCUGAUGCAGCGAUGCCGCGUGCGGGAAGAAGGCCCUAGGGUUGUAAACCGCUUUCAGGAGGGAAGAAAAUGACGGUACCUCCAGAAGAAGGUGCGGCCAACUACGUGCCAGCAGCCGCGGUGACACGUAGGCACCAAGCGUUAUCCGGAUUUAUUGGGCGUAAAGAGCUCGUAGGCGGUUUGGUAAGUCGGGUGUGAAAACUCUGGGCUCAACCCAGAGAGGCCACUCGAUACUGCUAUGACUAGAGUACGGUAGGGGAGCGGGGAAUUCCUGGUGUAGCGGUGAAAUGCGCAGAUAUCAGGAGGAACACCAGCGGCGAAGGCGCCGCUCUGGGCCGUAACUGACGCUGAGGAGCGAAAGCAUGGGUAGCAAACAGGAUUAGAUACCCUGGUAGUCCAUGCCGUAAACGUUGGGCACUARGUGUGGGUCUCAACCAACGAGAUCCGCGCCGUCGCUAACGCAUUAAGUGCCCCGCCUGGGGAGUACGGUCGCAAGACUAAACUCA